AGCGAACGCUGGCGGCAGGCUUAACACAUGCAAGUCGAGCGGGCACUUCGGUGUCAGCGGCAGACGGGUGAGUAACACGUGGGAACGUACCCUUCGGUUCGGAAUAACGCUGGGAAACUAGCGCUAAUACCGGAUACGCCCUUUUGGGGAAAGGUUUACUGCCGAAGGAUCGGCCCGCGUCUGAUUAGCUAGUUGGUGGGGUAAUGGCCUACCAAGGCGACGAACAGUAGCUGGUCUGAGAGGAUGAUCAGCCACACUGGGACUGAGACACGGCCCAGACUCUUACGCGAGGCAGCAGUGGGGAAUAUUGGACAAUGGGCGCAAGGCUGAUCGAGCCAUGCCGCGUGAGUGAUGAAGGCCUUAGGGUUGUAAAGCUCGUUUGUCCGGGACGAUAAUGACGGUACCGGAAGAAUAAGCCCCGGCUAACUUCGUG
rnacentral:rRNA from 1 species